rnacentral:misc_RNA from 1 species
CAUCUUCUCUGCAUAAUCCAUUUUUUUGUUUUCUUCCUCUGUUGUUAUUAACUGCUAAUGAUGAUGAUGAUGAUGAAGAAGGCGAUAUAGCUGUUGAUGAUGAAACAGAUUAUAUGAAGAAGCGGGUUUUGGGGGUGUAAGCAUAGAUAGAUCCGAAACAACAAGAGGGAAAGAGAGAGGAGGGGAGAAUAUGAGAUGAGAAUAUGGGAUCUAAGUAGAAUCAGAAAACGGAAUAAACUUAAGACAACCCCAAACCAAAAAUGCUCAAACAGAAACAAAAAUUAAAAAAGCUUUUCUCGACCAAAAAAAAAAAUUUUUUUCUGGAGAAGGUAGUUUUGUAAGAUUAAGGUUUGGUGUUCGCGAAAAACGAUCGGAGGGCGUAGGAGCAGGGAGAGGGAAGGAGAGAAAGAAAAUAUCGAAGUCGG